ensembl:lincRNA
GUCAAGAUGAAAAACUUCUUCUAAUGGAAUCCAGCUUGAAAGCUACUCAAGAGCAGCUAACUGAGCAAAUAGCAGAAACAGUUCGCCAAGAACAGAACAGUAGAAAACCCCAGGCAGAGCUGAAGACAGUGACAGAAGGGAUUAUUGCUUCUGAAGAAGAAAAAAAUGAUUACAAGUACAACUUCUUUCUCGUUCAUGGGCAAACUGUUAAAGAUGUAACCUCUUCCCGUUGGCUUUGGCAGGCCUCUACUGCAAGACCCUCUCAAAGGUAAGACUGAUUCCUCACCACCCACUCCCCAGCAACACAAGCAGACUACGUCGUCCAGGCCUGUCAUUCAGGGCAUUUCCUUCAAAGACCUCCGUGACUGCUCAGAGAGGGACUCACCAUCAGAUGGAGCCCGUGACGUGACCAAGACUAUGCCUUCUUCCUACAACACCUGGAACACAAGCAGAGCUGCUGGAGCUGCCGGAGCUGUUGCUGCUGCCACAGAAAUCUUGCUGGGACCCGACACUGCAGAAGCUGUUCUCUUGCGGAGACCAAGAAAGCUUCAGCUCAGCCAUAUGGCUGGAGAGUCCACUCACUCCUGCGGACGCCGGGAUCGCACCUGCUUGCACAACCACGCCGAGUCUGCAUGUUUGUUUCAGGCCUCACUGAGUUAAGUUUGUACUCACUUCCAAUCUAAACAAUAUCAAUACACAUUUUGGGUUCAUAAUAAACACAAGACGAUAAAACGAUCUCUGUUCCCUUGGACUUACAAGGCCAAUAGACUAGUUAGACAUAUAGAUUUUAUCGGAGAAUUAUGAAUAUGGGAAUUGAGUGUGUGUGGUAUGGUUGUAGCUGUGAUAAGUAUGAGAUAUCUCUAACUUAGGUUUCCCCACAUUAGGUAGACCUCUGGGAUCCAAGGCUUUAUCUAUCUGGAGAAUAUAUAUAUAUUGUACAGAGUUCUCUGCAAUACUUGAGAAACAGCAUUCCCAAGGACAGAUAGGUAGGUAAAUUGGAGUGGCAUUUUAAACACACAGGAAAUAGCACACAAAAUCAUGUGGUAGGAAAGAAUGUGAGCAAAAAUCUAGAGAGUCUGUGGGAAAUUAGUGAGUGAAAUUUGAGUGGAAUGAGUCUUCGAAAGCCAGGAUCUUCGAAAGCCAGGAUCAGACUUUUGCUAAUAAUCUUGUGAGCAAACAUUAAAGAAUGAAAAGGGGCUCUGGAAAAGGGACACAUGGGAUGAGAUUUGCUAUUUAAGGAGAUAACUUCUAUUGCAGCGUAGAAAGUGGAGUGGCCAAGAGAGGAGUGGAGGCAAGGCUUUGCUAGAUGACGUGUGGUGGGAGAGGGCCCCGAGAAGAAACCUAGGAUAACAAAACACACAUACGCACAUGCACGGUGAUCAUGGUUUGUGGGAUCGCAGCAGAGGAAAUGCUUAUUUUGCCAUUUUGUCUAAAACAUUAAUGACUUGAAGCCAUAUUCAAACCUUGUUUUGAUUUCACAAGUUUGGGUUUUUUGUCUCUCGUACCGCAAAUGGGAAUGAAUGAAAGCAACUCUAAAAUUUGCUUAAUCCAGAUUUUUUAAAAAAAAAUGUACAAAUAGUUUCAUAAGAAUAUUACUUCAUUUAUUUAACUAUUUUCCACAUUUGCCCAACCCACUUUUAAGUAUAAAUACAACUUGAAAGUGUUCUCAUAAGAUUCACUUCAUGAAAGAGUUUUUAAAACUCAAAGAAAAACCAUCCAUUUACUUACUUGAUUUCUUUCCCUUUCUUUCCUUAAUUUUCUCAAGUGAUAAUUUUAGGUAAUAUCACUGAAUAUUUACUAAAAAUCUAAAAAUCAGUAAUUACAAUUUAGUGAUAAUAUGAAAAGCAAGUGUUCUCAUUUUCAAACUGACACGGGCUGAUUAUUGGUUCAACCAUUUCAUGUCAUACUUUAUCACAUGUAAAAUUAUAAAAAAACACAUUAAAAUGGCAUGAAAGAUAAUUUUUAAAAAUAAAAUUACCAACUCUGUUAUUAUAAAUAUUUUAAGUUUGUAUAUUUCCUUCAGAUACAUAUGUAUAUUUAUUUCUGUGAUUUUAAUAAAAAACAAACGUGC